AUAUGUUUCCUAAAGCCAAAAGCAUGAAGAAGAUGCUAACUUAUGAAUGACAAAAGAUGUCAUUGGGAAAGCCAAGUAAGAAGAAAAGAAGAGAGAGCGUUAAGAUGGGAGCCAAUCUACUACUUUCAGCUCAACUCAAGAACCCAACACAAAGGUUUUCUUUAGUUCUAGACUCAAUCUUCUUGGAGUAACAAUCUGUUAAGGCUCAAGGUUUAUGUGUUUCUUGAGCUGAGGCUUCUAGCCAGAGGUAGAAUAUUUUUAGCUUCUGGGCUUAAGGGGUGGGUCUUCCUCAGCCCAGGUGAGAUAUAUUGCCUAAAGGUAGCUUAGGCGUAGUUUGCCGCAAGGACUUUUACUAGUGCAUAUAACCAGUUUCAAUUUUCAAACCACCAUUAAUUAAUUUGCAAUUAAACCUUUGAAUUGUAUUAUAUUUUUAGUGCAAUUACUGUUAAGUGGCAAAUAAAACUUUGUUGGGUUCAUCAAAACAUUCCUGGUUUAGAUGAAAACAAGAACAAAUUACAAGCAAAGUCGACACAUGUUGUUCUAUUGAUUAAUUCUAAUUCAUGAUUAGAUUAUCAAAAACAAGUUUCAAAUUAUCGUUAAUUAGUACUACCAAAAUUAAUUGGAUUUCUAUGAUUUGAAGUAAUUUCUUUCCUCUUCUUUAACUAUAUUCCUUUCAUCUUGUUUUCUUCGUUCAUCCUUCUUUUUUUUUAAAUAUUUAAAAAUUAUGUUAUAUUCUACAAAAAUUACAGCAAACUAAAUUAAGAUAUGCAAUACAUAUCGUACUCUAUGAAUAAAAAUCGAUACAUAUUGUUAUAUUUCUUGUAUUUAAUCAAUUAUUUAAAAUUUUUUUCAUUUCAUUUAUUUUAAAUCAAAGUUAUUGUUCAAUUUUAAUUUUUUUAAUACUAUCUUUAUGUACCGUCUAUUGCUUGCUUCCAUUUAAUUUUAAUAGAGAUUAAGAAAACUACAUUGACUAUAAUAUAUUUAACAUUGAAAAUUUUAAUUUUAAAAAUAUUGUGCUUUAAUGCUUUUUUAUUCCAAAUUUUUUUUAAAUAAGUAACAACAUGAAAAUUAAAUUGUUAAUGGACAGAAGGAAAGAUAACGAUGGAUGAAAUAGUAAUGAAUUAUAAGAUGCUGUUGAUGGGUGGAACAGUUGAUCCUGAAUUAAUAUUCAGUGGGAACAAAUUAAUAUAUAUAAUAUUAAAUAUACAAAAUAUAUAAAUAAAAAUUAAUUGAAGUGGUACAAAAAAAAAAUUAUGUAAAGAUAAUACAUUACAUAUGUUCUCUACUAUAAAAUAUAGUAUAGAAGCUCUGAAAAAAAAUUUUUAAUUAUCAAUACUAUAAAAUAAAUAUUUCUCUGUAACAUAAGCAAACAAUCAUUCAUUCAAUAAAAUCCCUUCAAAAUUGAUAAUAUUUUUUUAAAAAAAUUCUUUGAUUAUUUCUCUACAUAUGCAAAAUUAUUCCAUUAGUAUAAUUAAAUAUUUACAAAUGAUCAGAAUAUAUAUAUAUAUAUAUAUAUAUAUAUAAAAUAAUUAUUCAGUUAAAUAUCUUCCAAUUCUGAAAGAAGAAAGUGAUCCAAUCUUUAUAAUAUAAUCAAAUGAAUAUUAAGAUGUUGUUGGGGCAAUAUAUAUGGUUACUACUUUUAUUCCGUUUUCUUUAUCCAAUUUUUUGGAAGUAAAGUCCCAAAGUCAUGUUCUUAUUUUAUUAUUAAAUACUAAAUACUUUUUAUUUUUUGUAUAUUUAUCUCAAAUUCAAUUUUUUUUUUGUAUACUUAAACAUGAAUAUUAUCAAAAUUUUAACAUUUUAUGAUAUAAAAAUACAUUGAAAUGAAAACUUUUUCUUAAUCUAAUAUCUCAACAGUUAACCUGGAGAGGUCUCAAUUUGGAAUCUUGAAAAGAGAAGUUGAGAUUUAUAGCAUGAAUUGAAAGAGGACUCCACCCUCAAUUGGCUUAAUUUCACAUAUGUCCAGAAAGAAUACUAUUUCACAAGGGUAAAAGUGGAAUAAACUUGAAUGUGUGAUUGAAGUUGAAACAUUUACAAAUGUUUAUUACACAGAUUACAUUCAACUUGAAGCCUACAUCAACUGCCUAUUGUAUGAUGUCACAAUUUAAUUUAAUGUACAAAAUUCCUUUAAAAAUAAUUAAAAAAAAAAGGAACUAAAAAACACAAGCUACUAUUAUCUGGCAACACAAAGCUUACAUGGCACUGUGGGGAUCUAUGGUUGACCACUUCUCCUAGUUAGGCCAAUAACUCACUGAACAUAUCCUUUCUCCUCUUGAAACAAUGUGAUAAAAUGAACACAAUGCAAAAUCUUCACCGUGUAAUAACACGUAUGGAAUGCCAAGAAUCCUGCAACAACCUGGGUGGAAUUGGAAAAUUUCUAUGAACUAUCAUGUGAAGUAGGGAGGCUCACUCCAUCUUUCAGAUGGCUAAUUGAUGCCGGCCAUAACCAUCUCAGCAUGUUGGGACCCAAUACCUGAUUAAGAGGCAGAUAAAUCACAUACUAAUAGCUUGCAGGUACAAUAUAUUAACAAGAAAAAUAAAGAGGAAAGACACACAAAGCCAAGACAGAGAGAGAACGACAGUAGUCGCAGCACCAAGGUAAUGUUCUUCUAAACACUAAGAUCAAAUGGAUGAUGAUAGCUCAGCCCGGAUUUCUUAGCCAACCAUGCAGCUCGUAUUCCUUCAUAAUACCGUGAAAAGGAUAAUUUCAAAGUGGUUUAAACAACUAUGCAGGAAUAAUCCAAGCCAUGCAUCCAACUGUAAAAAAUCAACCUACCUCUAUGGCUGUCAUAUUGUGAGUUAUUAGGUAGAUAUGCCAACCUAAGAGAGUCCCAAAUGUUGCAAAUAAUGCAAGUGCCAUUGCUCCACAAGAAACCUAUAACACAUGCCACCCUCAGAAUUUAUUAGGUAGAGAGGGAGAAUAAUGACAUUAAGCUUUAUGACUUAAGCAGGUCAAACACUAGGCGAGCAGUUGAUGAAAUAGCAAACUCAGAAGCCACUAUAGAAGCAGAAAUUUCAAUUUAAAUCUAGUAUAGUUAAAACUCAAGUUUCAAGUUUGCUAUAGAAAAUGAAAGAAGGUUGUCAAAGAAUAAAUCAAAUUUAUAUAUUCUAGACCUUAGCAAAGAAGAGAAUUUGUAACGCAGGGCUCUCAAAAUAAUCACCUGGAUCAAAAAAAUCCAACUAAGAAUGACCGUCUAGUUCUUUUGGACAUUAGACAUCAGAUUGUCUAAGGCUUGCAUCAGAUUAGGGUUGUUCCAGGUCUUCAAUAUUAGGGAUAAGAAAAAUCAAGGAUAACCUGAAUAGUUCAUGUCUCACUUAAUACAUUAACAUGUUCCCUAAUAUGUAUAAAAGAAGUCAGCACAAACAUUGGUUUAAGUAUAAAAUUCAAGUUUCAAGUUCAUGUCUCACUUAAUACUUUUUCUUCCUUCCUCCUCCUCCACCAUCCCUUGAGAUUGGGACAAGAAUAAAUCCCUAGAAAUUCUAGGGAUGGGAAGAACGUCAUUGCUGUCCAUGUGUCUGUUCCUUUUCUGACACGUGUUCUAAAGCAUCCAAAGUAUUAAGUGAAAGAUGCUUUAAAGCAUCCAGCAAUGUCAAACAAAACUCCUUCAGCCAUUUCUUUUUUUGUCUAUUUGAAAGAUAAUUGUAAGAGUUUUUGAAAGAAGGAAAAUCCAUUGACUAGUGAAUCAUGAUCAUGUACCACUGCCAACAUAUAUAAAUGGAGAAGAGGAAGUACAUAGCCAAUGUGACUCUACAGGACGGUCACUAAAUUGGAAUUUGAUACUUUCCUUAAGGUGGAGAAGAAUAUGUUUCCUAAAAUCAAAAGCAUGAAGAAGAUACUAACUUAUGAAUGACAAAAGAUGUCAUUGGGAAAGCCAAGUAAGAAGAAAAGAAGAGAGAACGUUAAGAUGGGAGCCAAUCUACUACUUUCAGCUCAACUCAGGAAACAAAACAGAAAGGUUUUCUUUAGUUCCAGACCGAAUCUUCUUGGAGUAACAAUCUGUUAAGGCUCAAGGUUUAUGUGUUUCUUGGGUUGAGGCUUGUAGUCAGAGUUAGAAUAUUUUUAGCUUGUGGGCACAAGGCAUAGGUCUUGUUCAGCCCAGGUGAGAUAUAUUGCCUCGAGAAAGCUUAGGUGUAGUUUGGCAGAAGCACUAUUACUAGUGAAUCUAGCUAGUUUCAAACCAUCAUUAAUUGGUUUGCAGUUAAAACUUUGAAUUCUAGUAUAUUUUUUGCGCAAUUACUGUUAAUUGGGAAAUAAAAUUUUGCUGGGUUCAUUGAAACGUCCUUGGUUUACAUGAAAACAAAAACAAAAAAUUACAAACAAAAUCGAUACAUGUGGGUCUAUUGAUUUAUUUUAAUUAAUGACUAUAUUAUCAAAAAUUCAAGACUUGAAUUUGAUUAAGAUAUUAAAUAAUUAUAGAGAGCAUAUCUCAUUUUUACAUGGUCAUUACUUACAAAUUUAUUGAAUAAACGAAGCUGGUUGCAUGGGAAUGAGCACAACAAAUUUUUCGAGUUAUUGUGGAGAAGUAUAAAUUAAUAAACGUUUAGAUAUCUUAAAAGAAGUUACCCCUAGUGGAUUUAAUAUAUAUCAAUUUAUUAUUUUAUUGUUUUAUGACAAAUUAUAGUGGAUUAAUUAUAUUUGAAAUUUAACUAGAAUAUAUAAAAGAAUAAUAAUAUAAUAAUCCUUAAUUGAUAUACUUAUACCAAAUUAAGAAAAAUAAACUCUUCCAUGAAAAGUAAAACAUUUUUGUUUUAUCAACUCUCUUUCUCUCUCAUGUUCUAUCUUCUUCUUUUUUCCAAAUAAGAUAUAACCACCCUAUUUCAUCCAAACUUAAUUUCAACUUAUUUUCUUGAUUUUUUCCAUUUAAAAAACGAACAACAUACUAAAUUUUCAACUCUUGCAUCCUAUAAAAAUCUCUUUCCAUCUUUUGUUUAAAAAUUAUAUUAGAUUUCAUUUUCUAAAUCCUUAACAUUCUUUCUUUUUCUAAAUUUUAAAAUUACUUUUCAAGAUGAAAAGAGUAUAUUAAGAUUUUAAAAAAAUCUUAAAUUUGAAUCCGUCUCCCUUAAUUUAUAUAAAAAUCUUUCUAACAUUGAAAUAAAUUAGACCUACCAUUUUGUGAAACAAAAUGUCCCUCUUUUUCUUUAAUUAGUAUUGGCAUUUCUGGAACAAUGUUUUGGUAGUCACACUCCAUGAUCUUCAUACCUUAUUUGAACCUCACAGCUCCAUUAUUUGCAAAUAUAUGAAUUCCAUCAAAAAUCAACAAUACCAUAUCAUGUUUGGAUAGGAAGAAAAUUAAAAUUUAUAUUUAAAUUAUAAAGAUUGUAAGAAAUUAAAUUAAGAUACACAAUACGUAUCGCGCAUGAUACAUAUCAAAUGUAAUUUUUAUUCAAAAUAUAUUAAAAAAAAAACUACUCAUUUAAAUAUUUUCAAGUUUUGAAAGAAGAAAGUAAUUCAAUAUCCUUUUUGUUUCUUCCAAGUUUCUUUGAUAAAAUCAUUUAUCAUUAUUCUUUUCAUUAUAGUGAUUUAGGUUCUUUAUUACUCUCCUUAUGUUUUGUAAUAUUUUUUGAUGAGAAAGCACCGGGGAAGGACGUGAGGUAAAAGAUGAAUUUGUCACUUGUAAAUAUCUUUCAUAUUUUGUUGUCCUGUAAUUUUCUAAGAUCCUAUUUUAAUAAACCAAUUAACUAUAAAACUUUAUUUAUAUUUAUAUUUAUAUAGUAUUAUACAUUAUUAUUUUGCAAAGUAAGUUACUUUUUAUUAUAAUUAUACUUUUAUUUUUUCCAAUGUUUAUACUGAUGUCCAUUAUUAGAUACAUUGAGUCAGGUUGUUCGAGUUUGAUUGAGCAUUUCUAACAUAAUUACUAUUGCUCAAGUUGUUCCAGGUUAAGAUCAAUUGGAUUUGAUCAUCAUUCAUCUUCCUUCUCCCCAAGCAUUAGAGUUGAUUCAACCUUCCUCUAUGCCACAGUCCAGAUGGCGAACCAUAUUAGAUUUUGUGAUUGGGACAUAAUUAAUAAUCAUAUCUCAAUAAAUUAUCUCCAGGCAAUUGGAUUCAAGAAACCAUUUUGGGCAGAGACAAUAUUGUGGACAAUUACACCUCAACAGUUAACUUGAGAGGUCUCGAUUUCGAUUCUUGAAAAGAGAACUUUUGAGAUUUAUAAGAUGAUAGAGGACUCUUCCACAUGUGUGAUUGAAGUCAAAACAUUUACACAUUUGACGGUUAUUACACAAAUUACUUUAACCUCGUAGCCUAUAUCCACUGCCUACUGUAUUAUGUUACAAAAUUUUGUGUACAAAAUUCCUUUAUAAAGGGAAGUAGAAAAUAAUUUCAAAAAGGGAACUACAAGAACAAGCUAGUAUUAUCAGGCCAGGCAAAGCAUACAUGUCACUGUGUGGAUCUAUGGUUAACCACUUCUCUUCUAGUAACGCCAACAACUCACUGAACCUAUCCUUUCCCCUCUGGAAACAAUGAGAUAAAAUGAACACAAUGCAAAAUCUUCACCAUGUAAUACCAAGCAUGGAAUGCCACUAAUCCUGCAACGACCUGGGUGGAAUUGGAAACUAUCUAUCAACUAUCAUGUGAAGUAGAGAAGCUAACUCCAUCUUUCAGAUGGCUGAUUGAUGCUGGCCAUAACCAUCUCAGCAUGUUGGGACCCAAUACCUGAUUAAGAGGCAGAUAAAAUCACAUACUAAUAGCUUCCAGGGACAAUAUAUUAUGAAGAAAAUAAAGAGGAAAGACACACACAGAGCCAAGACAGAGACGGAGGGAGAAGUACCAAGGUAAUAUUUUUGUAAACACUAAGAUCAAAUGGAUGACGAUAGCUCAGCCCAGAUUUCUUAGCCAACCACGUAGCUCGUAUUCCUUCAUAAUACUGGCAAAAGGAUAAUUUCAAAGUGGUUUAAACAACUAUGCAGGAGUAAUCCAAGCCAUGCAUCCAACUGUAAAAAAUCAACCUACCUCUAUGGUUGUCAUAUUGUGAGUUAUUAGGUAGCUAUGCUAACCUAAGAGAGUCCCAAGUGUUGCAAAUAAUGCAACCAUCAUUGCUCCACAAGCAACCUACAACACACAGCACCCUCAGAAUUUAUUAUAGAGAGAGGGAGACUAAUGACUUAAAAGUUUCAUGACUUAAGUAGGUCAAACACUAAGCGUGCAGACUCCUGGAAUUCAAUUUGGUAAAUGGAUGAAAUAACAAACUCAGAAGCCACCAUAGAAGCUGAAAUUUCAAUUUAAAUCUAGUAUAGUUAAAACUCAAGUUUCAAGUUUGCUAUGGACAAUGAAAGAAGGUAGUCAAGGAAAAAAUCAAAUUUAUAUAUUCUAGACUUUAGUGAAGAAGAGAAUUUAUAACACAGGGCUCUCAAAAUAAUCACCUGGAUCAAAUAAAUCCAACUAAGAGUGGCCAUCUAGUUCUUUUUGGACAUUACACAUCAGAAGAGAAUUUAUGACACAGGGCUUGCAUCAGAUUAGGGUUGUUCCAAGUCUUCAAUAUUAGGGAUAAGAAAAAUCAAGGGUAACCUAAAAGGUUCAUGUCUCACUUAAUACUUUAACAGAUCCCCUAAUAUGUAUAAAAGAAGUCUGCAGAAACAGUGGUUAAGUAUAAGAAACUUGAGAAAGUUAAACAAAAAAAAAAAGGUCAAGAGACUGUAAAUUUUAAAUUAAGGGGAUAUAAAUUACGAGGAAAACAGCAUAUGAUCGAUGUAGUUUAGAGAGACUUAACCAGAAUAUACCAAAAAUCUAAAAACAAAAGGUAAGAAACUGUAGCCAACUAGAUUCUAUAUUUACUUUGGACUCUGCUGCACCAUAAAAAAUAACACAAUAUACAGCAAUUCUGCUAGCCAGAAACAGCUUCCUGUGCACAUAAUUGUCCAGACCUAGCUUCUCAACCAGUUUAGAACAGGGGACAAGCAAUUAGCCAGAACUCUAGCUGAAAUAAUUCAUUUGACCAAAUAUAUUGUGGUAAAAACAAUAAAAUUACAAUGCACCUCAUCAACUACAUAUUAUUAACUACCAACUUACAUAAAAAAUUUUGAGGGGAGUUCUUCCACUGUAAUUCCAGUCCUUUUGACACGCACAGCUUAUUACGAUUAUCUGAGCAUGACAGGUUUUAUGUCAAAACUUGAGGCAACCUUGUAGCAUUAAUACAAGACAAGAAACAAAUGAUACAUACCGUGGAGUGGAUGCUACCGAUGGUUGCAUAAAGUACAAGAGUGAAGAAAGCUUUAUAGUUCCAAUAACCAACACAAUUAUUUAUCCACAGGCAAUGAUGGUCCUGCACCCAAUUAGAGCAUUGUAACGUCGGAAACCAUAAUUUUGCAAUUUUCAAGGUUAAAGAAAAACUCUUACUCAAAUAAAAAUUGCUAAAACAAAUAUAGCCUACCAUCCUUAGUAUGCAUCUUCUGCAAACCCGGCAAUGAUGAGCCCUGGGAGGCUUAUAAGCAGCACAUUUGUCACAAUAUUUUGAUUGUACACCCUAAAUCAUUCAUCCAUGAAGUCAAAAUACAUAAUGAAGUUAUGAACUUUGCAUAAUGCAUAAAUCAAAAUCACACAUCUAACUAACAGCUGGAUUGACUACUCAAUAUCACACGUCUCAUAACAUUAUUUGUAAAGAACCUUUAUGAACCUCAAUUCAGCCAUUUGACAUUGAUUGCCUCAAUGUCACAUCAAGCUUCUGACAACUAUAAAACCUGUAUACAUAAACUUUAGCAUAUUCUUAAAUCAUAAAAAAUGCAAUAUUUAGAAUAUUGCAAAUACCAAAACUAAAGACUAGACAACAAAUAUUGACUUUUCAUGUUGUGGCUACAACUGUAUUAUAUAAGACAUCUGUAAAACAAUUUAAACCCAAGAAAUGAGAAGUGCCAACCCUGUUAAGCUCCUAAAGCCAUUGGAAAUAGUUAGGCUCCAUUUGGUUGAUGCUUUUGCUCUUCGCUUUUUGUUUUUUCUAUUUUCUAUGCAUUUUGCUUCUCCUUUUCUAUUCAUUUUUUGCAAAAAUAAGAAAACAAAGAGCAAAAGCAUCAAUCAAAUGGAGUCUUAAAUUAGUCUUCACAUCCAAAAGAUCCAAAUUGGAAUAAAACACGUAUGCUUGAAAUUUUUACAAUUGGAAUAAAAGUAAAAGCUCCAUUAAUUACCUUAUUUUAUUGAACAUAUCUCGAGUUAAAUUUGGAGAUGGUAAAUGACAGUGUUCUACAAAAAGUAAACAGUUCCUAACCCUGUCCUUCAAAAUCCACCAGCAUCUACCACUUCAUACCCAACAUUUCAAUCCAAUUCUCUAAAAGCUUUCUAAUGAAUGUAAAAAACCCAAAUCACAUCAUAUCUCAAAACACAAAAAAUUCAACUUUCCUUGAAAAUAUUGAUUUAAUACAUUUAGAAAAAAAGAAAACAAAACUUACAUUUUUCUUGGGUUCUUCAUCUGAGACAGAAGAACUAUCUUCAACAUCAGGGAGAUAAGAAGAAGGAGCAUAACCUGGGUCAGUAAGAACGCCAACAGAAAAAGAGAAGAGACACAGAGAAGCCAAGAAAGUGAAGAUCUUGGCAUUUAAAGAUCCAGCUGAGCUCUGCAAACCAACCCAAUCUUCAAUGAAAAUGAAAACUGUGAUAUAAUAAACAAAACCAGAACAAGAAAAACACAGCAAAGUUUGGAAUUGAGAGGAAUUUUUGGUACUUCAUUUUGGAGAAUUCUAGGGUUGAGAAGAAGAGGAGAGCUGGUAGACAUGAGAGUUUUACCUUUGGUCGUUGCUAGACAUAAUGAAUGUCGUCAAAAAUAUCUUGGGCUCCUUUGAAAAGUUUUGGGUUAUAAUUUUUGGGCCGUUGAUAACUGACAGUCCGUGUUGGAAUUCUGUAAAAGAUGAAUUUUGUGAAAUUUUGUAUUGAAAAAAUAAUUAUAAAAAAAAGAAAUUAACAAUCAAAAUUAAUGAUUUGAUUAUAUUACUUGUUAAAUAGAUAACGCAUAACAAACGAGAUGUAAUUUUUAUUUAAAUAAGCAUAUAUUAAUUAAAAAUUAUGACAAAAUUUACCCCUUUCAAUAUAAACAGUGAUUAAGUUGGUGUAAAAAUAUUAUAUAUAUUCAAUCAAUAAUGCAUUAAUUUGUUAACAAAUGCAGAGAUUGUGUUAUAUUGAUAUAUUGUUUUAUCUACAUUUUAUGCCAUUACAAGGAAUUAAUAAUGUUGAUUUUUAAAAAAAAUAAAGAGAAAAGAAAAUGAAGAAUUAAUAAUGUGAAAAACAAAAGAACAGACCUAUGAAAUUAAGCAGCAGAAUAAAAUAUCGAAGGCUUUGCAUUUUUGUGUGGCCUAGAUUAUAGGAAAUUGAAUCUAACGGUGAGAUGAUGAGUUGAAAAAGAGAUAAAGGUGAAUCACUGUCCGAUCUUGCUUCCUGAAAAGGUGAGGGAAACCAUGAGACUAAAAUGCAUCGCUUAUUCAACAAAAUGAAGCUGAAGUUUAAGCAUAUUAAAAUAGAGAUAUAUAUAUAUGAGAAAAAUAAAGCAUUAAUAAGAGGGGAGAGGAUUGUAAGAAAAUUACUUCAAUUUUCAUCAAAUUAGGCAAAGCAGCAGACAAUGUCCUGGGGAUCUCAAUCUCAAACAAUGCAAAUAUCUGGGACGUGAGAAAUCUUAGUCCAAUCGGCACCGGUGUCCCUUUUGCAUCUUUCACUCAAAUGGGGACAAUAAAUGAUUUGAAUAAGGCGUAGAUUGGCAAGUCGACUCAUCCCUUCUAGCAAUGAUUGUAGUUUGUGGGAGUUUCUAAUUUCCAACUCUUUGAGGGAAGUGAGAUUGGAUAUCCAGUCGGGCAAAGCCAUCAAAUUGUGACAACCAUUAAUUGUCAACUUUCUUAAAGAGGUGAGGGCAUGCAUUUCUAUCUGCAACGAUGUGAAUUCAAGACAAUUUUCAAUCUCUAGAGACUCAAGACAAAUGCAGCUGGAGUUUUGUAAAAACUCCUUUAACGCAGAUUCUGCAUUUUCAAUCCCAUUUAAACUCAAGGACUUCAAAUUGGAGAGAGGAAGAGUAGUCGAUGAUGAUGUUGUUGCAGCUGAUGUUAUCUUCACCUUGGUUCUCAUCCUCAUUGUCUGCUGCAAUAGCCUUCCACUAGUACUCAACAAGACCAACUUGUCAUUGAGAGUUGAAAACAAUGGGAGAGAGGUUAGCUUAGGACAUCCCCAAAUAAGUAAUCUGGAAAGGUAAGGAAAGUGAAGCAGCAACUCUACAGUUGAUGCUUCAGUUGAUUCUUCAUUAUCCUCAUCAUCUUCCUUCCUCCUCCUCCACCAUCCCUUGAGAUUGGGACAAUCGAAAAUCCUCAGAGAUUUAGGGAUGGGAAGAGCGUCGUUGCUAUUAACAUGUCUGUUUCUAUUUUUGACACGUGUUCUAAAGCAUCCAAAUCGUAAAGUUUAGAAUCUUUAGAGAGGGGAGAUGAUUCAUAGGAGGUAGAUUUCGGCAUUUCUUACAAGCCUCUAUUUCAAUGUUGACUAAAUUUAUGAUGGAGGACAACCAAUUCGAAAACUUGGCUCCAUUAAACUCCGAUACCCACAACACCUUGAGAUUUGGAUGUGGUCGUAGGCUUUCCAACACCUGUUCCUCAUCCAAACUUGCUUCAUCCCCUUGGCUCCUGUAUACACUUCACGAUAAAAAUAAGUAUUCUAGAUACAGUUUUUCUUCCAAGUAGGUUGCCUCGCUUUCUGGAGUGGCAUCUCUUAAAUAUUCAAUUGAAAGCUUUCCUUGCAAGUUAUUCAACAUAUUCAAUUCACUUAGCCCCCCAACAUGCCGAUCUCUCUUUCCUAUUUUAAACAUUGGUAAUUGUCGUAACGUGCGAGUUCGGGAACCCGAUCGCUAGACGCGGACGAAAAUUAAAUGUUUAGGAGUCGUCACCAAUCGUUUUUAUCUAGGUUUGAUUGGACACCUAUUAACCCGUUUCUAAUCAACGAAGUCCUAAAUUAAUUUUAAGUUCGUCGAAAGAAUGAGAAUUGAUCCACGUUUUUUAAAGAUGGGUUCGGGAGUGCGGUUACACACGGAGAAGGGUUAUCACCUCCAUGGCGCCCGUUCCACGAAUGAUAUCAUUUAAUCUUAAGUUAUCUUAUUGUAGCCUACUUUUGAUUUAGUCCCCGCUUAUUAACUAAUUUUCUAUUAAAUUGACUGCUUGAGUCUUUUAUUUGGUUUUACGUAUGCACAUGAUGCAAGCGUAAAAUGCUGUCAUGACUUGUUUAUUUUAAAUAAUGGGGUUGGUAAUCUUUUAUUGGAAAAUCAUUCGAAAACCAUCCCAACGCUUUGGUGAAGUCUCGAAAUUUUCCUCACCUAGAGAUAUCCGCGGAAGAACUCGUCUCUACAAGCUCCUCGGGGAAAUCUCAUCAUCGGAACUCCCGCACCAUUUGCAAGAUAAAUGUGGCAUGCUAUGAUAGUAUAAGAUGAUGAUGCCUAUAUGAUCGCGUUUAUUGAUUUAGUUAGUUAAAAUUCAUGUGAUAAUGUGUUUAAUAGUUCAAGGUGAUUUAUUGCCGUGUUUACGUGUUUAUUAUUAAAAUUUUUUCUUUAAUGCAUAUUAUUUGCUAUUUUAUUAUUUUUUAUCUUUUUAUUAUUUAUUUAUUAUUUUUAUUUAUUAUUUCGUUUUAUAGUUUUUAAACAAUUAUUUGAAUUAAUGGGUAUUAGAGUAUAGAGUUCGGAUAUAUCCCGACGCUUCGGUGAAAAUUCGUUUCGAUCUCUAAAUUUAAGUGACCUACCUAAAAGUGGCAACUCUUUACCAAUUUUAAGUGAAAUUACUCAAAAAAAUGUAUUUUAUUAUUUAUUUAAUAUUUCUAUUUCUUUUUAUUAUUAUAUUUUUUUAUUUCUUUAUUCUUCUUCAUAAUUUAUUUUUACUUUUUAUAAUUUUUAUAUUUGUAUUAUGAUUUUUUAAUAUUAUCAUUUAUUUAUUUAUUAUUAUUAUUAUUAUCUUCUAAUACUAAAAUCAACAUAAAAAAAAUUUAAAAUUUUUUUAUAACUUUUCCUAAAAUAAUUAACAUUAAAUCAACAAUACAUUUUAUCUACACAAAAUGGACUAGAUCCAAAACCAACUAAAAUGACCCACAAAUAAAAGGAAAGAGUUUUACCUUACCAGGCUAGAUUGGCCCAGUUUUCACAAGCCCGCAGAGGACCCAAGCUUGCCACUCCAAUCCUGUUUUGCAAGCCCACCGGACCCUUGACCCAAAACCUUUUCCUUCUUUUUUUCUUUUCUUUAUUUCUUUUCAUUUUUCUUUCUUCUUCUCUCCCAGCCGCUCCCUCUUCUUCUUCUCUCUUUCUUUCUUUCUCCUUCUCAUUCUUCCCUUUUUUCCCCUUAUUUCUUUCUCUUUUUCUUCUUUUCUCUUUCUUCUUUUCUUUCUCCUUCUUCCUCUCUCUCCCAACUGUAGCAUUCCCCACUACCGGCGCCCCUCUCCCUCUGUCUCCCUCACCUUUUUUGUUUCUUUUGUAUUUAUUUUUUUGAUUUUUUUGUUGUUUGAUUGUGGCUUUUUGGUUGCUGUUUUGUGGGAUUUUGGGUUAAUUGUUGUUGUUUUUUCUUGUUUGAGUUUUUUUUGGUGGAGGGAUUUUUUUGCAGGAGAUGAAUCAAUUUUUUAAAAUUUUCUUGACUUUUUUGGCUGUGUUUUUUUGCUUUUUCAAAAAUCCUCCCCCUUUUUUGCUGGUAAUAAAUCUUUAAAAACGGGGUUGUCCAAAAAUUUGGAUAACCCGGUAAUGGGGUUCUGGCACCAAAAAGUUGGUAGCCAGAGCCCCCAUUACUCAUGGUGGUCGAGGGUAUGCCCAAUCAUUCCUCUCUUCUUCUUUUUUUUUAAUUUUUUAUUAUUUUGUUUUAUAUUUUAUUAUUAUUUUUUUAUUUUAGAGGUGUUUACAGUAAUGUUGUAAGACAAAUCAAUUGCCUCAAUCCACAUGGCAUAUAUCUUAAUUCAUAACAACAAUCAAUUUCAAGAUGCCUAAGCCUCACCAUGUUUCCAAUAUCUCUUAGCAAUUCCUGGAGACUUCUACAGGAAUUGAGACCCAGUGUUUGCAAAUUAUGUAGCCUUGUCACAAAAUUAGGUACUUCUCUAAUAUCAUUGUUCCAAGAAAGAUCAAGAUAAUAUAGAUGUUUUAAUCUACAAAUAGAAUGCGGUACUUUUUCAAACGUUGAGAAUUUCAAAUCCAACACUCGUAAACAUUUAAAGCUUUUUAUAAUUUUAUCCCUACUGGACUCAUUUUCUUUGAAGUGAAGUGAUCGAAAAAAUGUUCUUAUUUUAUUUGCCUUGAGUGAGACACUUGGAAUAUUCGAUGAAAAAUCUAAUUUCUCACCAAAUGACACAUGACGUGUGUUUUCAUCUAAAUUUUCUACAUUUAAAUUUGUAAGAACAAAGCACUCAAUUCCAGCAACAGAUUUGGCAAGAUCAUACAUCAGAUCAUGCAUCUUGCAACUUGCUAUAUUGCCAAAAAAAUCUUUUUCUGCCUCUUGAAAGAAAGAUCUCCAAAGCAAAUCUAUGAAGUAAUCAUGACCAACAUCCUUUAGAGAUUGGCCUUUGUCUGGUGACUGAAUAAAUCCUUGAGCCAUCCAAAGCUUUAUCAAAGCAUGGUUACUGAUUCUAUAAUCCUUGGGAAAUAAAGAACAAUAAGCAAAGCAUUGUUUCAAAUGUGAUGGAAGAUGACCAUAACUUAACCUUAAAAUUGGCUCAAUACCAGUUCCUUGUUGGGUUAUAUUUUCAAGCACACGUGACCACUUUGAUUUGGUUCUUUCAAGGCAUAAAAAGCUUCCUAUGGACCUAAUUGCUAAAGGAACCCCUGCACAACAUUUCACAAUAUUUUCUCCAAUUGUUUCUAACUCUAGGUCGAGAAAGUUGGAAGUUUGGAAUUGUUUUUCAAAUGUUAUUUGCUUAAAUUAAGACAAAAAUUGACUUUCUGAUAGACCUUCUAAAAUGUAUGGUGAAAUUGUGCCUGUAACUCUUCCAACCAAUUCACUCAUUGUAGUUACAACAAUCCUACUUCCUUUAGCUCCCCCCACUAACAGACUUUUCACCAUAGACCACUUCUGUGCAUCCUCAUUCCACACAUCAUUUAGGACUAGCAAAUAUUUCUUUCCAUUAAUUUUUUGUUGGAGGUCAUUUUGCAGUAUUUCCAUUUGACAAUUUUGUUGAACUUUCUUUUGAGUUGCAACCUCAAGUAUUUUUUCCACAACUAUUUUAACUUUAAACCUAUCUGACACACAUACCCACAGUUUUAGCUCAAAAUGUACUAUGACUUUUUCAUCAUUAAACACUAUUUGAGCUAGUGUAGUUUUUCCUAAUCCUCCAAUCCCAACAAUGGGGACAACUCUAAUACUUUCUUCAGAAUUAGUUUCUAGGAGCAAUUUUAUAAUUGCACUUUUAUCACCAUUUCUUCCAAUCACUUCCUCUAAGCGUACAAAGGAAUGCGUUUGCUCUUUUUCCCUACUUUGAAUUUGUGACUCUACAAGACGCUCAUUAAAGUGGAAGUUGAUUCUAUCAGCUGAAAUUGCAUCUAGUUUCUCUCUUAGAGCUUUAACUCUAUGACCCAUCUUGAGACGAUAUGAGAACUGGUUUGAUUUCGAGAAGAAAAUGCGUACCUUUUUUGACAUUUCAUUCCCUUUCAUUGUCUUUCACCGUAAAACUUGAGUGGAGAAAUCAUCCAACAAGUGGUCCACAUCAUAAAUUGCAUCUUUGAGCUGCUUGAGCCAACUGUGACCUCUCGGUUGUUGCUGUGGUGUUGCUCCUCUGCAUCGAGAAGGACAGCUUUGAUAAUGGAAAUAGUUCCUUCGAGCUUGGAGAGUUUAGCUUUUACAUUACUGGCCAAGUUAAGUUCUCGGAGAACUAUAGGUCCUAAACCCUCCAGGACUUUUCCAGCAAUGUCAAACAAAACUCCUUCAGCCAUUUCUUUUUUUUUUUCCCGAAAAGAUAAUUGUAAGAGUUUUUGAAAGAAGGAAAAUCUCUUGACUUGUGAAUCAUGAUCAUGUACCAUUGCCAAUAUAUAUAGAUGGAGAAGAGGAAGUACAUAGCCAAUGAUACUUUCCUUGAUGACAAGGGAGAUGGAUCCAUUCUUUCCUCAAGGUGGAGAAAAUAUGUUUCCCAAAGCCAAAAACAUGAAGAAGAUGUUAACUUAUUAAGGUGGAGAAAAUAUUUUUUGUAAAGCCAAAAGCAUGAAGAAGAUGCUAACUUAUUAAAGUGGAGAAGAAUAUGUUUCCUAAAGAUAAAAGCAUGAAGAAGAUGCUAACUUAUGAAUGACAAAAGAUGUCAUUGGGAAAGCUAAGUAAGAAGCAAAUAAGAAAGAACGUUAAAAUGGGAGCCAAUCUACUACUUUCAGCUCAACUCAAGAAACCAACACAAAGGUUCUCUUUAGUCCAGAUCACCAGAUGUGUGUGGUUCAAAGACUGGCUUGCUGCUUGAUUUAACCCAAUCUUCUUGCCUUCUUGAAGUAACAAUCUGUUGAGGCUCAAGGUUUAUGUGUUGCUUGGAGUGAGGCUUCU
rnacentral:lncRNA from 1 species